rnacentral:snRNA from 1 species
UGAACCGGAAGCCGGGUUACGGU